AUUCAUGAUAUAAAAUGAAUGAUAUUUUAAAUUGUUACAUGUUAUAAUUCUAGAUGUUUAAAUGCUGCGUGCCUUUUGAAUUGUUAUGGUUUCAACGCGCGUGCGAGUCGCAUUCAAAGUUGUCCGGUUCAAAGACAGGAGCGCACGCGAGCAGAUGGAAACCAUGGAAACGAGGAAACCUCUUCAACUGACAAACAGCAAAAAAUAGCGUCUCUCUGUUUUUCCACUGCUUUCAGUCUAGAAAAUCAUCAUGAUGUCCUGCUACAGCCCUGUCCCAAGACAACCUCCACGGCUAUGAACUCGACUAAUGAGAUAUCAUUUGACCCUGUGAUUCUUCAGGACCAGAUCUUGAUGCCAUCCACACCCAGUACAUGACAAAGAUGCUGUGACAAAAAGCAGUCAAGCCACUGCAUGUGAGGUGGAAGCCAAUAUGAAGACAUGGCUCCGUAAUCCCUGGGACAGAGAUGGGGGAAGGCAAGGAAGGGCCAGAACUACUGUUGCCCCUGAGGAUUGAUUUUUAAUUUUCAAUCCCCUGUUUUCUGUGAUUAUUGCUGUUUUAAACUGUAUUAUCAUUAAU